CACCGGGAGGACAUGGGCUUUGUCUCAGAGCGCAACGCAGUAUUUAAACACAGGAGUAACAUGAUGUAACUUGCUGGCUUUUUAAAAAUGCAUUUUAGAUUUUAAAAGGAUCACAGGAUCAGCUUGUCUGCUGCGUUGGGAAGACCAGGGGUAAAAGCAGAGAGGCGGGUUAGGGGGUCAUUGUCCAGAUGAGAGAUUCUGGUGGCUUCAAUGAGCAUUGUAACAGUGAGGGUGGUCGGGAGUGGUUUGGACUCCGAUGUGUUCUGGACAGGAAUUUCUGACAGAUUUGUCUGGGAUAUGAGAGGAGAUAAGCAUAAUGCUCCUGUCGGACAGAAAAUGAUAAUGCAGGAAAACACUGUAUUUUUAAACUCUUAAUAGGUUUUUGUUUGCUCAAAGUGUGUCCAUUCUAUUGAAUUGCACAGAGCGAAACUGCAUGUACAUGAAAGCUUCGUUAACGUGUUUCCCACAAUGUUAGCACAGUGAAUCUUGGGAAGAGGGGUCUCUAGGAGAGGGUCUUGGGUAACCAUGCACGGCCAUGGACCUCUGACCUUUGAGAGGACAGCUAUGCCGUGAUGCUGUUAACUUAUCUAAUUUCCAUCCACCAAAGAUGAAGUGACAUUUAAUGAUUUCAUUAAUUGAAAUUCUGCUCUUUUGACCUUGGGAUUUCCAAAUUUGUGAUUUUUUUUUUUUUUUUUUUAUUCUUUCCUGCAAUCUUGCCAGGCUGUCUUCAAGAAGAAUUUUAUACUGCUGUCAUGAGAAAAUCGCUUACGGUUCCUUCAGAUGUCAAGAUUCUGUCAUUUCUGCAGAUGUGGCCCAUUGUGAUUCAGGAUCUGAGCGUUCUCUGUAUAACAGUUUUUACUUGGUUCUUCGUGAAGACGAUGCAUCGUGCUUCUUUUGAGAACCAUGGGGAUCAUUCCCAAAUAAUUCAAAGAAGGAUUGUUUGUUUAUUUUAACCUGUGCUAGUUAUUAAAAUUCAUUUUAUGUGUAUGAAGUCAUAUAGGUAUCAGCAUGGAAAAUAAAGCUAUUUUCUUUUACCUCAGUCAAAACCA